AUUGAACGCUGGCGGCAUGCCUAACACAUGCAAGUCGAACGAGUGGAGGACGGGUGAGUAAUGUCUUAGAACAUGCCCGAUGGAGGGAGAUCCCUACUGGAAACGGUAGCUAAUACCGCAUACCAUCGUAUGUGACCAGUUGGGAUUAGCUAGUCGGGGGGGUAACGGCUCACCUCGGCGACGAGCCUUAGCUGGGCUGAGAGGAUGACCAGCCACACUGGAACUGAGACACGGUCCAGACUCCUACGGGAGGCAGCAGUGGGGAAUAUUGGACAAUGGGCGCAAGCCUGAUGCAGCGAUGCCGCGUGUAUGAAGAAGGCCUUCGGGUUGUAAAGUACUGUCAGCGAGGAGGCGUUACUCGCAGAAGAAGCACCGGCUAACUCCGUGCCAGCAGCCGCGGUAAUUC
rnacentral:rRNA from 1 species